rnacentral:rRNA from 1 species
UGGCGGACGGGUGAGUAACGCGUGGGUAACCUGCCUCACACUGGGGGACAACAGUUAGAAAUGACUGCUAAUACCGCAUAAGCGCACAGGACCGCAUGGUCUGGUGUGAAAAACUCCGGUGGUGUGAGAUGGACCCGCGUUUGAUUAGCUAGUUGGUGGGGUAACGGCCUACCAGGGCGACGAUCAAUAGCCGACCUGAGAGGGUGACCGGCCACAUUGGGACUGAGACACGGCCCAA